AGUGAACGCUGGCGGUAGGCCUAACACAUGCAAGUCGAACGGCAGCACAGGAGAGCUUGCUCUCUGGGUGGCGAGUGGCGGACGGGUGAGGAAUACAUCGGAAUCUACUCUGUCGUGGGGGAUAACGUAGGGAAACUUACGCUAAUACCGCAUACGACCUACGGGUGAAAGCAGGGGAUCUUCGGACCUUGCGCGAUUGAAUGAGCCGAUGUCGGAUUAGCUAGUUGGCGGGGUAAAGGCCCACCAAGGCGACGAUCCGUAGCUGGUCUGGGAGGAUGAUAGGCCACACUGGAAAUAGGACACGGGCCAGACUCCUACGUGAGGCAGCAGUGGGGAAUAUUGGACAAUGGGCGCAAGCCUGAUCCAGCCAUACCGCGUGGGUGAAGAAGGCCUUCGGGUUGUAAAGCCCUUUUGUUGGGAAAGAAAUCCAGCUGGCUAAUACCCGGUUGGGAUGACGGUACCCAAAGAAUAAGCACCGGCUAACUUCGUGCCAGCAGCCGCCGCAG
rnacentral:rRNA from 1 species